AUCCCUCCUCAUUAAUUGGUCGCCCCGUCUCUCCCGUUCCCCGUGUCUAUCUCCCCCAAGCGACACCCAAGUGGCGACGGACGCAUCCGAAAUCAGCUACGGCGGCGAUGGCGGGCAGGGGAAGGAGCGCAAGGCAAUUGAUCUGAAGGAUGGGUGGAGCUUCAAACAGAAGGGCAUCAUCUACAAGCUCAUCAACAUCCUCGAGCGGAAGCUGGAGCUGCAGUUCAGCUUUACACGGUUCCGCCCCUCUUUGUCUCUUUUUGUCGUGCAGCAAAAAUCUGGAGCCUCGCCAUGGCCGCCAAUAUCCAUCUGCGGGUACAAGAUUCAGGGGGCAAUUACCUCACUCAUCUUGAUCUGCCAUCUCCUUUCUCUCUGUCAGGUUUGAUGAAGAUUUCGAUAACUAGCUAGAUUUAUGUGAAAAUUCUGUACACUUCGCCCAAGGUUGUUUGUCGGCAGGCCAUUUGCUAUAGAUGUAACCAAAUUAAUUUACCAUGUAUGUUCUACACAUUUUCAUUUAAUGGUUUUU